ensembl:rRNA 5S_rRNA 5S ribosomal RNA
GCCAGCAGCCAUAUCACCCUACAACUCACAACUGGCAACCCACUGAAGCUAAGCAGGUGUGAGCCUGGUCAGUACCUGGAUGGGAGACCUCCUGGGAAAAACUAAGGUUGCUACUGGAN